ensembl:lincRNA
CUCUGGCUCCCCGUGUCCCUGGAUUGGAUGAAGAGGCCAGAAGAUGGAUGGAUGUAGUAACAGAGCACAGAUUGCAUUCUGCUGUUCACCUCGUCCUCCCUGCGGUCUGGAUUUCACCCCUCGUGAUUUUCACUCUUCCGGCUGGAAAGAUGUUCUCCGAGGUGGCAGACUUGCCAGAAAUCACACAGUACACCAAGAGGCUCAGGUGCAGACGGCACAAUUCCGCUAGUGUGGCAUCAUGAAACCCGGCCGGAUUCCAGGAGUCUUUUCCUGCCUGCAGCGAGUGACGGGGCAGCAGUCGGAAAGGGCUCUCUCUCUCUCUCCUGCUGUCACCUUGACCGGCACACCCAGCGGUCAAGCGCAGGACCUGCAGCAGCUCUCUGGACUACUCCUGCUUGGAUCUGCUCCUCUAGGGGAAAGGGGGUGUCCCUGAAGAAGUCUUGCAAAAUGGGGUUUCAGCAAGAGUUUUCAAUUCUUAACUUUUUAUGUUUUAAAAAAGAACAGGACCAGCCCUUUUCAUUCCCUUGACAUCGGAGUCCUCUUGUCAGAAACGCAGUGCAUCUGCAGCUGGCUUCGAGAGCACCACAUCUCAUUGUGAAAGUCGUAGUGCUCCAGGAGACGCACAGCAAGCUCCUGGAUUGACAUCCAGCUGGCCUGGGUGAGGUAACGGGUAAAUCACAGGUGCCCCAGCCUGCCCCUCGCCAGUCUUUCCAGCCAGCCAGCUGCUCUGCGAGUCGUGGGCUUCAGAGUGGACCGGACUUUCAUUUGUUUAAAACCUCUGUGAACUCAAGCAACCCUGCAGUGUGAUCUCUUUGGCUUGUGAAGGGAUUCAUUCCUUAUUCAAACAUUUGCUUCACAUUGUUCGAGUUUUGAUUUUUUCCUGCAUUAUCUCUAGCUCCUGUGUAGCAAUCUUUAACCUAUUGCUUUUUCUGACAAUCACAGGUGCACACUUGUGUAGCUUCUGCAGGGGGCACCACUGUUUCUCAGCCCACACAGACUCCCAAGUCAGAGACAGAGCUGGACCCCUGUUGUUUUUCAAGGCAGGCUUGCUAGCACUGGUGUCAGAGGUGGAGUCUGCUGCAUAUCCCUUCCACUGAGCCUGCCAUGGCUUCCUGUGCAUCAGGCCUUGUACAGCUUCAGUGAGUUUGAGCUCUACUGCAUAAGACUUGAUUGUACAAUGACUCAUCA